AAGACACUAGUAAAAUCUAUAUUAUAAUGCUUUGUCAAAGCAUCGUCGUGAGUUGAACCCUCGCGUGUCUUA
rnacentral:tRNA from 1 species